rnacentral:lncRNA from 1 species
CAGAAAUAGCAUUUUGAUUAACAAAUCUGUAAAUUAAUGGAAUGAUAGGUCGAAGGGAUUGAAAAGUAAUUGAUAGCAAUUGAAUCAGAAACAGUUCAGUCGUCAGUUAAGUCACCAGCAAAGUCAAAAGUAACUUGUCAAUGUGUGCUUUACACCAUAGACAGAGUACAUGUCGGAGAAAUGUUAUUAAAGAGGAGCCCUAAAACUUUCCAUCAAGGACUACACAGCGUUCAACAAGAAAGGCAGUUGUCGGAGAUGAAGGCGAAAAUGGCAUUGCAAUUGUAACUCCAGCACUAGCAACGACUACAAAGAGGGGGGGGGGGGUUCAAGUGUCAAUGGUUCGGAAAAAAGUGGAGACUCAAUUUGAAGAUGAAGAAAUUGGAGAAGAUAAAAAGACUGCUCCACCAACCCUGUUCCACUGGGGACUAUUAGCCGGAGGAAGGUGAAUGAAGAAGAGGUUACAGUGAAACAAGUGAAUAGCAUGCGCAGAUCAGUGAGGUUGGCUGCGAAAAAUGUGGUGAUGUUGAAGGCCAACGGGGAUGAAAAAUUGGAACUCUUAAGCAAUAAUUGUUUAUAGAUUGAUAAUUUAGCUAUGAAUUUGAAUUGGAAGAUUUGGAUGAAGUUUGGAAAUCAGUGGUACGUUUCUCAAAUCGUUCAAGAAUCAUUUGCAUUUUAUAAUCUCGAGAUUUAUUUUCUUAAUUCAUCAAUAAUUUUCUAUGAUUGUAGGUGUUGGAACGAAAACAAUGCUAGAGGAUGAUUUGGAGAAAACAGACAAUAUGGAUGUUGUUUUCGAAUAAGAAAGAGAAGAGAGCUCUGAAGUCGAGGAGAGAUACGAUGAAUCAGAAAUUCUUGCUGGUGAAAACAUUGAAAAUCAAUUAUACUUGAGCAAUGAAAUUCAAGAAAAUUAUACUUCCAUACAAUUAUUUCAUUUAUGAUACGUGAAAAUUUUGGUAGUAUUGUUAUCAAAUUUGUAAUGUAGGUUCUCAUCAUACGAGUAUUUCUGAGACUAAGAAUGCACUUGACAAUGGUGUCAAAUCGAAGGUAGCAUUGAUUGAUGGCUAUAUAUAGGUGGUUG